AUACGGAGGGUGCGAGCGUUAAUCGGAAUUACUGGGCGUAAAGCGUACGUAGGCGGUUGGUUAAGUUAGAUGUGAAAGCCCCGGGCUUAACCUGGGAACUGCAUUUAAAACUGGCGAACUAGAGUUGAGUAGAGGGGAGUGGAAUUUCAGGUGUAGCGGUGAAAUGCGUAGAGAUCUGAAGGAACACCAGUGGCGAAGGCGACUCCCUGGACUCGAACUGACGCUGAGGUACGAAAGCGUGGGUAGCAAACAGGAUUAGAAACCCGAGUAGUCC
rnacentral:rRNA from 1 species